GACGUAGGGCGCGAGCGUUGUCCGGAUUUAUUGGGCGUAAAGAGCUCGUAGGCGGUUUGUCGCGUCUGCCGUGAAAACCUGCAGCUUAACUGUGGGCGUGCGGUCGAUACGGGCAUCACUGGAGUUCGGCAGGGGAGACUGGAAUUCCUGGUGUAGCGGUGAAAUGCGCAGAUAUCAGGAAGAACACCCGUGGCUAAGGCGGUUCUCUAGUACGGUACUGACGCUGAGACGCGAAAGCGUGGGGAGCGAACAGG
rnacentral:rRNA from 1 species